CCCGGAGUGGCGGAACUGGCAGACGCGCCGGACUCAAAAUCCGGUGACCGCAAGGUCGUGAAGGUUCGACUCCUUUCUCCGGGA
rnacentral:tRNA from 1 species